AUUAGCAGAGUAAUUAUAAGGUGCCAAUGAAUGAUUCAAAGUUCUUUGAGUUACAUUUUACUCCAAAUUAGCAUUUUAAGAACCCUAAGAAUCUGCCGGGCGGGACUCACUCCCGUGACUAGGUGCAGAAUGAUGUUCGCGUGGCCUUUAACAUCUGCAAAGGCUGGGCCGAGAUCUGGGGUUUAGUUGCAGUUCUGGAGGUCGCUUUCUGGGCCACAGCGUUAAUCUAUUGAGGACGAAGGGAGGGGUGUCAUGGAGGCAAAUGACCUCCUUGGACAAGAUCUUGCCUUUCGGUCGGAACUGUUUUUGGUUGAGCCCUGAGCCCUGAAGGGGGUAGCUGGGCGACUCACCCUGCCUGCGUUUUCCUAGGGAAAUCGAUGUGUUUGACCCAGAAAAUGCCUGCACUAUUUGGAGGGUGGGUUGAGCUGUUUCUUAUCGUCUUCGUGCCAUUUUUCCUAGGGCUGCCUCCGAGAACAGCGGGGAGAGAAGGGACGAAGGCGAGGAGAUGCACAAUCCGGGCAGAUCUCGCUCUUCUCGGAAGGCCAGGGGAGUUUGGCCGAGGAGCCGGGGUUGGUGAGCUGAGGCGGGAACGCGGGACGUGCUCCUUCCCAGCAGGGGCCGAUGCUGGCUAGAGGGGUGCGGGGAGGCUCUGGGGAAGGGUGACUGAGCUCCACCGGGUCGAGUCAGGCCAAUAUAAGCUGCUGUGGGGUUGGAUCAGCCGCCUUUGGCGCGGGAAAUGAGUGCUGGCCCGGCAGACCCUCCGGAGAGUUCGCGGGCCCAGCCUCGGCUUACCGACAGCGGUUACCAAAUCACUGACGGUGGGCUUGCGAAGGCGACUCAUCCGAUGCCUCAGGGCCCGGCGCUGCACACAGCCUCGCAGCCUGGGCACCCCGCGCCUGAAAGAGUUGACCGCUGUGGGGAGAACAGGAAGGGCUCUAGGGCUGCCCGAGACUGCAGGCGGAUGCUACCUACUCUUCCCUCUUCAAAUAUCGAUGAGGGUUCUUCCCAUCCAACAUCAUCAUCCACCAACUUCCCGAAUGAGAGAGUCUGCAUUUCUAACACAAUCCCAGUGAUGUGA
rnacentral:lncRNA from 1 species